AACGAACGCUGGCGGCAUGCCUAACACAUGCAAGUCGAACGAGAUCUUCGGGUCUAGUGGCGCACGGGUGCGUAACGCGUGGGAAUCUGCCCUUUGGUUCGGAAUAACAGUUGGAAACGACUGCUAAUACCGGAUGAUGACGAAAGUCCAAAGAUUUAUCGCCAGAGGAUGAGCCCGCGUAGGAUUAGCUAGUUGGUGUGGUAAAGGCGCGCCAAGGCGACGAUCCUUAGCUGGUCUGAGAGGAUGAUCAGCCACACUGGGACUGAGACACGGCCCAGACUCCUACGGGAGGCAGCAGUGGGGAAUAUUGGACAAUGGGCGAAAGCCUGAUCCAGCAAUGCCGCGUGAGUGAUGAAGGCCUUAGGGUUGUAAAGCUCUUUUACACGGGAUGAUAAUGACAGUACCGGGAGAAUAAGCUCCGGCUAACUCCGUGCCAGCAGCCGCCGUAA
rnacentral:rRNA from 1 species